ACCACAACACCAUCAUACUAGGCCUCAGGCAGGAUCUUGCCAGUGCCAACAAGAAGAUUAAGGAAUUAGAGCGCCGCUAAGUUAUCUAGAUUAGACCUUGAGGCAAUGCAUCUUAGUUAUCUAUCUUUAAAUUCGGUUUAGGUUUACUAUUAUCCUUAGUUUGCUACUAGUUAUUUGUAAUAAAUGCCUCAAGAUUAAUAAAGAAUAUUAUUAUUAUGUCUCGUGUGUCUCUACUUUAUUUUUGUGCAAGAAAGCAGAAAACAAGUAUGGGGGAGAUCCCUUAACAUGCCAAAUACACUCCGACUACACCACUCCACGAUUCAGGUACACACUCUGCACACUUUACUUUACACAUACAAAUAUCUUGAUUAUGCAGAUUACUGUUUCCAACAUGAUAAAAUAAAAAGAUUAAAAUAUUUCUAAUCAUGAUUAAUCUCAAUCUGUUAUAUUUCCUGAAACUUGCAAUUAUUAUAAAAUCAUUUUAAAACCCUAUGUUACUUGAGUCAUUGUGGAAUAUGUGAUGGUAGAGUAUGAGUUCCUUAUUCUUGAUAUCAUUGUUGCUUGGAGAAUUUAUUUCAAAAUAUUCAAAACUCUAGCUACCAUCCUCAGUGUUUUAUAUGCCUGAUAAAACUAAAAAUAUUAAUUAUGAUUAUAAAAGCUAUCUACUCUGUAUUGAGUUUGUUCAAAAUGAGUUAGACCCUUGUUGAGAGAUUUAUCAUGCUCCUAAGAUCAAGACAUUUAUUCAGAAGGAUUCACUCUUCCGAAGUAUUAUUGCAUUAGAGGCAUGGGCUAUGCAAAAACAGAGAUAUUUCGAGGAAAUAAAAAGGAGCAAGUGCUCGACAACCUCGCAGAAAAAUGGACAAGUGUCCGGCAGUAGAAUUAGGGAUACAUCGGUAUCCACUUAAAAAAAAUAAGAAGAGAAAAAAAAUGAUAGCCAUGGUCCCUCUAAUAAGCAAUAUGCCAACAAGAGUUGACAAAGAUUUUAAUUUCCAAAGUCUUUGAUCUAAGAGUAUGACAUUCCCCUCCUCGAAUCCCGUUUUGAUCAGGCAAUAAAUGCAAAGUAAGUAUGCUUGAGAAUUUUUGCAAAAUAAAGCAACCUCAGUGAGAUAUAUGAAAGAUAAUGAGUGAUCUGAGAGAACCUAUGAGGAUCAAAAGGUAUGCCAACUUUCUUUCAAAAAUAUACAAAAACUCCAAGUGACAGGAUUGAGAAGAAAGGAUCUUUACUCUUAAUCAUAAACAUCCCUGACUAUGGUACACAGUGGAUUUUUAGCACCCUGCAAUUAUAAAGAGAAUGUUUUAAAUGUUUACCCUAGAUAUUGUUCUUAACCAUCCUUUUCUCGAGGACGAGUAAAAGCCUAAGUAUGGGGGUAUUUGUUGACGGUUCUUAAGUACCAAUUUUAAUUAUCAAAUAAACAAGAGAAAGGACCAAUAUGCAAACAACACCUAAAAUUAGGGUUUGAUCUGACAGAAUUCCACGAGUUUUGUUGUUUAUCUAUUUCUGCAGGGAGUUACCAGGAAAUAAGGAAGAAAGGCCCACAUGUCGGGAUUACAUAGAGAUAUCAACACACCGUACGAUUUUCUACCAUCUAGAAGACGGGAAGAAGACGGAGGCUGAAAGGGGCCAGGCCCAGGGCGCCUGCCCUGGUGACCUGGGCGCCCGCCCCCUGCAGGAUGCCAAUCAGGACUCUCUUCGCACGGGAUGUUCCACCGACCUACUGGAUCAAGAAAAACAUAGUACCGCCUCGUCUACCGACCCAAAAACGCAUAGAGGAGGAGGACUAUAUAAGGAGACCCCCCUGGCCCC
rnacentral:lncRNA from 1 species